rnacentral:snRNA from 1 species
AUACUUACCUGGCACAGGAGAUACCGUGAUCACGAAGGCGGUUCUCCCAGGGCGAGGCUCACCAUUGCACUCCGGUGGCGCUGACCCCUGCGAUUAACCCAAAUGUGGUUAACUCGAGUGCGAAAUUUUUGGUAGCGGGGGACUGGUGGUUCGCGUAUCCCCCUU